AUCCAGCUGGACGACGAGUCCCAAAUAGGACGAAAUGCGCUUUAUCCUGGAU
rfam:Trichobilharzia regenti genome assembly, scaffold: TRE_contig0016982